AACCAUUCUCACCUGCGGCUAGACCUGCGGAAGGAUCAUUAUUGAUUUUUAACAGGAUGUGCUGGCUCUUCUGGAGCAUGUGCACUCCUAACAAAAACCAAUAUCCACCUGUGCACUUUUAGUAGGCAGGAAAAAAGACCUUUUUACCCAAGGGCUCUUUUCCUUGUCUAUGUCUUCUAUCACAGACACUUGAUCUAUUUGAAUGCUUAUACAACAAAAUAAUAUUUGUAAAACAACUUU
rnacentral:misc_RNA from 1 species